rnacentral:rRNA from 1 species
UGGUCUUGACAUCCACAGAACUUUCCAGAGAUGGAUUGGUGCCUUCGGGAACUGUGAGACAGGUGCUGCAUGGCUGUCGUCAGCUCGUGUUGUGAAAUGUUGGGUUAAGUCCCGCAACGAGCGCAACCCUUAUCCUUUGUUGCCAGCGGUCCGGCCGGGAACUCAAAGGAGACUGCCAGUGAUAAACUGGAGGAAGGUGGGGAUGACGUCAAGUCAUCAUGGCCCUUACGACCAGGG